rnacentral:lncRNA from 1 species
GGGAGAAUGGUUUACUGAAGAAGGCAAUGUGGUGCCCCUUCUACGGCAAGAUUGCUCCCAUCCCACUACCAGAAGCAUCUGUUUCUACGGUGAAAGGGACUUCAAAGUCCAGAAGAGACAACACAGGGGCCGUCGUAAGUGCUUCCUUCAACCUGCAAAAGCAUUCUACGUGUCCAGGGUCCACUUAAAAGAGUCUAGAGUGGUGGCCUUGAUGAGAGGUGCAACAAUGGAAGCAUAGCCACGGAAAAAAUGACAGCAGAAAUCCGCCAAGCCCAAGAAGCUUCGAAUGGCCCUUAUGGACUGAGGCAUAGGCCAGUCUUGAAUGGCCUAUACCUUCGAAGACACAGGCGCGACUCCCAUGACUGAUAACACAUGGCCUAGAUACUCCACCUGAGUCUGGGCGAAGGAGCAUUUUGCACAUUUGAGAAUGAACUGGCAGUCUACAAGGACUUGAAACACAGUUGCCAAGUGGGACAAAUGCCCUUCAAGAAUACUGUAUAUGAGGAUGUCGUCGAAGAAGACGAUAACAAAGCAGUAGAGGUAUGGCCGGAAAAUCGAAUUCAUUGUCACCUGAAAUGAUGAUGGGGCAUUACAAAGCCCCAAAGGCAUCACCCAAAAAUUCAAAAUGACCGUGAUGAGUACGGAAAGCGGUGUUGCUGAUAUCAACUUCAUUCAUACGUAUCUGGUGGUACCCCUGAAACAGGUCUAGCUUCGAAAACCAAUUGGCACCCCCUAAUUCGUCCAGUAGUUCAUCUAUGUUGGGUAUCGGAAAAUGAUCUUUGAUCGUUAUGGCAUUCAAGGCACGAUAAUCUACACAGAGACGCCAUGAACCAUCAUUUUUUCGCACCAAGAGAACAGGAGAUGAAAAUGGACUCGUGCUUGGUCUGAUAAUCCUCUUCUGUAGCAUCGAAGCAACCUGCGUUUCAAUUUCCUGCUUUUGAUAGUGUGGGUAGUGAUAUGGGCGUACAUUAACAGGUUCAAAAUGAGGUUGUAAGUGAAUGUGGUGGUCAUGUGGUCUGGACGGCAGCAAGGCUUGGGGUUCAUGAAAGAGGAUGUGGAAUUGGUCUAAAAGGAUUUAAACUAGUGAUGGAAGUUGGGGGUUGGUAAUUCAAAGAAGACUCUGAGGGAGUAAUUGCGAUGUGGAAACAGGCACUCACUCCCUGCUUCCGGACAAUACGGCGGAGCUGGGGUGAGGUGACGAGAAUAGAAGCAGGAUUAGGGUCCCCGUGAAGCUCGAAUAAGUGUCCUUCGUGGAAAAGUUUCAUGGUUAAGGCACUAUAAUCAGUCAUGAUAGGUCCAAAGGUCUUGAGCCACUGCACACCCAAAACCACAUUGGCACUACACAAGGGCAAGACAUGAAGGUUCACCACAAAUUGAAUGCGCUUGAUAGUAAUGGUGACUGCUUCACAAAGGUUAUCACAAUGAAGCUGUUGACCAUUCCCGACCAUGACGCGAAGCGGAGUAGUGGUGCGAGUAGUGAGGCCCAAUUUCCACACCAAUGGUUCCUGAAUAAAGUGGUGGGUGUUGCCUCCAUCAACCAGGAUAACCAAUUGGGGCGUGACAAUGUGACCCAAGAGACGCAGGGUCUCAGGUGCCAAAUGACCCGCGAAAUAGUGGAGUGUGAUCUAGGCCUGAGGCGGGUUAGUGGCGUCGGGUGGGUGCUCCAACUGGGUCAAGUCUUCUAGGUUUGCAUCUUCCUCAUCAGUUAUUAAGAAGAAAAUCUGAGAGACACAUUUGUGCCCUCGAUGGAAUUAUUCGUCAAAAUUGAAACAGAAACCACAUUCCCUACACGAAGCCAAUUCCUCGGGGGAGAGUCGCUUCACAGGCACUAGUGUUGGGGGUUUCGGUGGGGCUAGAAGCAAGGGGGUAGCGAUUGUCGACAAGGGUCGUGGAGGUGGCGUAGCGAGAGGGGGUGGGCAGACGUAGCUCAUGGAAUGCGCCUCAAGGAGCUUCUCUACCUGAAGUCGGGCUAGGCCCAUCGCCUGCCCCAAAGUAAGAGGCUGGUGUGCCUGGACUUCCUGGCGAAUCUUCAGGGUCAACCCCGAGAUAAAGAAACUCAAAAGGAACGGUGGAGGCAAGCUGACAAUCUGCUUCGUAAGAUCUUCAAACUCCGAAAGGUACUUGGUGAUUGUGGAUCGCUGGGUAAGCUUGCAAGGGCACCGGUGGGAUCCUCGUAUUGAGACGGGGCGAAUCGUGUCUACAACGCUUGGAAGACUGGCCAAGAGGAGAAUUGACCAUUACUAGUCAUCCAUUGGAACCAGGCCAAUGUGCGCCUCUCCAUGUAGAAGGAGGCGAUGCUCAGCCUCUCGUGCUCUAGCGUGGCAUGGUAUGAUGUAAGAUCCAUUGGAGCUUGUAGGCCUAGGAUCUUCUUCAUCAAUGGAUUCCUUUGCUUCUUGGAAGAUGAAUGGCAGCGGAAUGGAGAAAGGAAGAGAGAGAGGAGACGCCACUUCAAGGAGAAGAUGAGUCUAGAAGAAGCUCACCACCAUAGGAGGCCAUGGAUAAGAGCUUGGAGGAAGAAGGAGAUGAAUGAAGGGAGAGGGAGAGAAGAUCACGAAAUUUUGUGCUCUAAUUGAGCUCUGAAAUCUGAAGUUUAAUAUUUAAAUGAUCAAAGUUAAAAAAAAUGCACACACAUGACCUUUAUUUAUAACCUAAGUGUCACACAAAAUUGGAGGGAAAUUUGAAUUUCAAUUCAAAUUUCACUUGAAUUUGAAAUUGAAUUUGUGGAGUCAAACUUUGGAGACAAAAUUUCACUAAUUGUGAUUAGUGAAUUUUAGUUAUGGUUCAGCCCACUAAUCCAAGAUCAAUUCCAAGAUUCUCCACUAAGUGUGCUUAGGUGUCAUGAGGCAUGUAAAGCAUGAAGGACAUACACAAAGUGUGACUAUAUGAUGUGGCAAUAGGGUGUGGUAAGCAAAUGCUCACCUCCCUCUCUAAAAUUUAAUUGGAUUGGGCUUUUACCAAUUCAAUUAAAUUUAUUUCCAACCACACACAUCAAAUAUUCACUUAGUGCAUGUGAAAUUACAAAACUACCCCUAAUACAAAAACUAGUCUAGGUGCCCUAAAAUAUAAGGGCUGAAAAAUCCUAUAUUUCUAGGGUACCCUACCUAUAUUAUGGAGCCCUAAAUACAAGGACCAAAAUUAAUGAAACCUUAAUCUAAUAUGUACAAAGAUAAGUGGGCUCAUACUUAGCACAUGGGCCCGAAAUCUACUCUAAGGCUCAUGAGAACCCUAGGGCCUUCUCUUGUAUCUUUGGUCUAAUCUUCUUGGAGUCUUCUAUCCAAUGUCCUUGGGGGGUAGGAUUGCAUCAUUCCCUCCCCCUUGAAAAGGAUUUGACCUCAAAUCCAGAGGUUCUUGAAACUCAUUAAUUCUUUCCUCAACACCUGUAAAAAGAAUAAAAACAUAUGUAUUAGUGAUGUUGGGUAUGUUAGAGUACGGUAAGGAUUGAAAACCCCUUUCCUGGCCAUCUUCCCAUAAGAGAAUAUAGUUCCUCACCAACUCAAUGAGUGGUGCUACAGGUAUAGAAAAAUAUAGGACAAACCUUUUGUAAAAGUUUGUUAAGAUAUUGAAGCCCCAAAUUUCCCUUAUACUUGGUGGAGUAGGCCACUCAAGAAUGACCUUUAUUAUUCUCUUAGGGUCCAUGGGAAGCCCUUGAUCACUAUUUAUAAAGUUAAGGAAAGUAAUGUAAUAAAACAUACAUUUUUCUUUAUUUUCAUGUUGAUUAUUCCUACAAAAAAUUACGACAAACCUAAGGUGUCCCACAUGAGCACCUAGGUUUGCAUUGAAAAAAAAAAAAAAGAACAAACCUACCUAAUGAGUCCCUAUGUACACAAAUCAUGAAGAUGUUGGGUGCAUGAGUGAUUUUACAAAAGAGUGUUACACCACUCAACACAUUCAUCAUACCACUUAUCAUAGGGAUUUGGUGCCUAAUAAUACCUAUUUUAGGCACCAACAAAGCACAAGGAUUUAAGCUCUUGCAAACCAAACCCUCAUCCAACAACUCCUUUACUUGAGGAAUAACCUAAAGCUCAAGAGGUAUGGCGGUGCUAAGGGAUGUUUACCUUGAUAGGAGAAGGUAGAAAGAUUGUUUAAGAAGGAGUGCUAUUUUAAUAUCAACUUUUGUUGCAAAAUGAUUUUCCUUCUUAACAAUCUUGUUGGAGGAAUCAUUUUCCUCCUUUUCCUUCCCCUUGGCCUUUGAAGACAAGGCCUUACUAUCCUUCUUUUUCUUUUGUUUUUCUAGUUUUUCUUCCUCAUCCCUCUUAUCUUUCAUAGUUAGUUGAUCUUUGGUCACCUGUGAAGGUGUUUGAGGAUGCAACACAAAUUUAGUGCCAAGAUGGGUAAGGGUAAUUUCAUUAGUUAGGCCAUUGUAAAUGAUCUUCCUAUCAAAUUGUCAUGGCCUUCCUAAAAGAAUAUGUCCUGCCUCCAUGGGAACUAUAUCACAUUUAACUUCAUCCUUAUAUGUCCCAAUGGAGAAAGGUACCUUCACUUGUUGGUUAACUAUCAUUUCCCCUUGCUCAUUGAGCCAUUGAAGUUUAUAAGGUUUUGGGUGGGGAAUGAUAGUGAGGUUCAACUUGGAAACUAAUCUUGUGCUACAACAAUUGCAACAAGAUCCACUAUCCACAAUGAGAGAACAAGUUUUAUCUAAAAUUUUGCAUCUUGUAUGAAAUAUGUUCUCUCUUUGGGAUUGAGAUAGAUCACAAGAUUGACCUCCAAUGAGCCUUCUAACCAUUAAGAGGUCACCUUCUUCAUAGGGGUAGACUUCCUCACUAGACUCUUCGCCCCUUACUUCAUCUUCACUUCCACUAGAGGAAGGGCAAGAAGUAGUCUCCUCUUGACUACUAUAAAUGUCUUGACCCCUCAUGAUCAUGGUUUUCUUUGUGGGGCAUUGAGAAACAAUGUGACCUCUCCCAAGACAUUUGAAGCAUUUAAUGUUGUUAGUCCUUUCUUGGGAACUAGUCUUAGGGAUGUAUUUUUCUAUGGUCUUACCCUUAUCUUCCUUGGGUUUUGAAGGUGCAGCCCCCAAAAUUCCAUGGGCUUGGUCCUUCCUUGGAUAAGAGUGAGAGCCAUAAGAUUUUGAAGAAGGCUUUCUUUUAAGUUGUUGCUCCACUCUUAUACAAAGUUGGACUAGCUCAUCUAGGUCCCUAUAUGGAAGGAGUUCAACCUUGUCCUUCACUUCCAUAUUAAGCCCACUAAGGAACCUAGCUAUGCUUGUUCUUUCCUCCUCCCUAAGUCCAGCUCUUAAAAGGAGUAGUUUCAUUUGUUGUUUAUAUUCUUCAACACUCAUACUCCCUUGUCUAAGCCUUUGGAGCUUGUCCAUAAGCUCUCUUUCAUAGUAGGAGGGAAUGUGCCUCUUCCUAAAGGCACUCUUAAGAUCAUUCCAAUACUCUAUUGGAGGAUCCCUAUGAAUCCUUCGUUCCCUAACAAGGGAAGUCCACCAAUAGAGGGCAUACCCUUGAAAGCUAAGGGUAGCCAAUGGAACUUUUCUCUCUUCGCUAAUAUGAUGGCAAACAAAGAGUUGUUCAACCUUUAUUUCCCAAUCUAAGUAGGCCUCAACAUUAUCUUUUCCAUGGAAAUAUGGGAGGCAAAUGUUAACCUCUUGAGGCCUUCUAUCCUUUUCUCUUCUUUGGGAGUGAUGUUUAGUAUGUGAACUAUGGCGCCCUCUAUAAUAGUCGCUAAGUUCUUCACUUAAACUCUUGCAAGAGUCAUGACUACUAUAGGAGGCAUGUUUUUCUCUUUUCAUUUCUUUCAUUGUUUUUCUUCUUUCUUCCUCUCUUAUUUUCUCUCUUUCAUCUUGACUUAUUUCUUCCACUCUUUUUUUACCUUUUUCUUUUCUCUCUUGCUUUUCUUUCCACAACUUAAGGGAUCUCAAUUCAUCUAAUAUCUUAUACAAGAGUUCCUUAGGAGUAGAACCCUUACCAUUAACACUAGAUGAAGAAUGAAGACUCAUGUUGGUUCCUAAGUUAUGGUUCUUUCUUGUUGGGGGUUUGAAAAACAAAAGGUAAAAGAAACUAUGGUUGAAACUAGCCAAAAUAAACACUAAAAGAGGUGUGAAAGAUGAGGUAAAAACUAAUUGGUAAAAGGCAAGCUAUCUAGGCGGUUUGACAAUGAAGGGUAAAAGAAAUAAGCUAUGAAAGUAAGCAAGAAAUUAAAGUGCAAGAAAAGCAAACUAGGUGGAUCCUAAGAGUGUUUGGAUGACCUCAUUUAAGGUUCCCAACAAAACACUCACAAUCCUAAGAGAAAAUUGCCUAAAAAUUAUUACACACAAAUGGAAGUAGGGUGACCUAGCGGAGGCUCCCAACUUACUUCCAACGAAAGGCCUUUUUGUUACAAAAUUUGAAAGCAAAGCAAAUUGCCAAUUACAAGAAAAAAGUCCUCAAUUAUGGUGGCUAUUCUCUCGUUAGUGUUUCACUCAAUUUGGAUUGCUUCUUAGUCCAAUAGCUCUUAAGGUGGUUGGCCCCUUGCUUCUUGACUCAAAUUCUUCAAGAUAUGGCACCAAUCCUCCUUUUCAAUUCCCUAUAUGGCAACUCACAAGCAAGGAAACAAAGAGACAAGCAAUAACCAAAGACAAAAAAAUGAAAUGAAAGCUAAACCAAUAUAGUUUUAACAAGAUAAAUUUCCAAGGAUUAUUCAAAAAUUAAAGCAAUGAAAAGCACAAAAAAGCAGGCUAGGACUCAAAGAGAAACCUAGAAUGGCUCUAGAGUAGAGUAGAAAAACUAUAAAAAAAAAAGACUCAAGAAACCUCUAGUUUUGACACUUGUUUUCACAAUAAUUUUCAAUUGAAAUUUCAGAACUAGGAUUGGUAUAAAAUAGGCACCAAUUAUUGAACAAAUUUUGAGCCAAAACAACAAGCACACUUCCCUUUCACUUUUUUUUCCUGGACACUGAUUUUUCUGCCAACUUGUGUGAUUUUUCUUAUUUUUUCCUUUAAUCCGAAUCGCUUGGUUCUUUUUUUAUAAUUUUGGUCCAGAUGUCUAGAAAAUUCAGUAAAAAUUUCAGCUCAAAAAACGUAGUGACCAAUUCCCAGUAAUUUACACAAUUUCGUAUGUUCAAGUUGCCAACACCAGCGAUUUCAACCUAAAAAUCAAGAGUAGUGUUUAUGUUGCUUAAGGCUUGGAUAGUUACAAUUUGUGUUUGCUUAUGCUCAAUUAUCUUGAAUAACAAAAUUCAAGAGAGUUUAAGACUUAUUUGAUUCACAAAUCCAGCCACAACUCAGCACCACAACUCAACUUCAUCAUAGGCAUUAUAUACGAAACUUUGAAAACAAAAAAAAGUUCAACAAGACUACUUCUAGGAAUUGAUUUAGAACAUGUUAUGAACUAAAUAAUAUGCAUGAAUUAGACUCAAAAUUCAAAAGAUAGGCUAAGGAUGACAAGAAUACAUGAACAAAUGUAUCUAGAAUUCAAUCAACAAAAUAAAAAUUCAACACAAACUUAGAACAUAAUGUGACAAUUACUAUGACUAAACAUGACUCUAAGACAACAUGGAUUAAGUGAUUUACAUUUUGAUUUUUGUGUUUUUUUUCUAAUCAAUAUUUUUGGAAGAAAAUUUUGAUCUAAGUUUCAGCACAAGAAUAUUAUGAAUGAAAAAUGAUAGAACCUAAAAUCAACACAAAAACAUGAUUCAAGAGUAGAUCUACAAAAUUUGAACCAUAGAAAUGCAAGAACAAGUGUAAAUAUAAGAUUUAAUCGAUUUAUUUUUUUUGAAUCUACUCUAAACAGCACCAAACCACAAGACAAUGGAGGAUAUACAUGGAGAAUAAGAUGAAGAACAAGGAAUUAAAGAGAAUUCACUGAACAAAAAGAUAAAGGAAGCAAAAGAACAUCACCUAGAUGAAGAUGCUCUUGAUACCACAUGAUGUAAGCUCCAUUGGAGCUUGUAGGCCUAGGAUUUUCUUCAUCAAUGAAUUCCUUUGCUUCUUGGAAGAUGAAUGGCAGCAGAAUGGAGAAAGGAAGAGAGAGAGGAGACGCCACUUCAAGGAGAAGAUGAGUCUAAAAGAAGCUCGCCACCAUAGGAGGCCAUGAAUAAGAGCUUGGAGGAAGAAGGAGAUGAAUGAAGGGAGAGGGAGAGAAGAGCACGAAAUUUUAUGCUCUAAAUGCGCUAUGAAAUCUGAAGUUUAAUAUUCAAAUGAUCAAAGUUAAAAAAAUGCACACACAUGACAUUUAUUUAUAGCCUAAGUGUCACACAAAAUUGGAGAGAAAUUUGAAUUUUAAUUCAAAUUUCACUUGAAUUUGAAAUUGAAUUUGUGGAGCCAAACUUUGGAGCCAAAAUUUCACUAAUUGUGAUUAGUGAAUUUUAGUUAUGGUUCAGCCCACUAAUCCAAGAUCAAUUCCAAGAUUCUCCACUAAGUGUGCUUAGGUAUCAUGAGGCAUGUAAAACAUGAAGGACAUGCAUAAAAUGUGGCAAUGGGGUGUGGUAAGCAAAUGCUCACCUCUCCCUCUAAAAUUUAAUUGGAUUGGGCUUUUACCAAUUCAAUUAAAUUUAUUUCCAACCACACACAUCAAAUAUUCACUUAGUGCAUGUGAAAUUACAAAACUACCCCUAAUACAAAAACUAGUCUAGGUGCCCUAAAAUACAAGGGCUGAAAAAUCUUAUAUUUCUAGGGUACCCUACCUAUAUUAUAGAGCCGUAAAUACAAGGACCAAAAUUAAUGAAACCUUAAUCUAAUAUGUACAAAGAUAAGUGAGUUCAUACUUAGCACAUUGGCCCGAAAUCUACCCUAAGGCUCAUGAGAACCCUAGGGCCUUCUCUUGCAUCUUUGGUCCAAUCUUCUUGGAGUCUUCUAUCCAAUGUCCUUGGGGGGUAGGAUUACAUCAUGGUAGUCGAAAAAUUGGUUGAUCUUAAAGAUCCAACCAAGGGGUUCAGUCCCAUCAAAUCGAGGGACAUCUAGUCUCAAACUAUGAGGGGUGGAGGUGGGCAUAGGUGGAGUGGAAUUGGACGCGGAUGGAGAUGGUGAGGAGGCCUCAGGCUGGGCUAAUUUUUGGAUUAAUUCGUCGAGUUUCAAGGUCAUUGUGUGUACUGUUUCGGUCAAGGAAAGGUGAUGGGAAGUGAGCUUGGCUAUGGCAUCUUCCAGCCUGUCAGAGGAAGCUUUGGACCUAGUGGAUUCCACCAUUGGAACAACGAGAGCACCAAAAUUGAUAGACUUAUUCUGGUUUAGAGGACCAGAUACCUCCCAAGAAGAGAAUAAGAAGUUGAAGGUAAUUUUCAUUGAUUAAAGGUAAAGGGAGACAAGCUAAGGAAAAUGCUUAUUCUGUUGCUGGAAGGAAGAUUCUGAUGCCUAAUCAGCAACAUCCCCUCUAUCUCAGAUGAAAUCUUUCAGAUACGCAGGUAUGGUGCUAAUCCUUCUGGGCUUGUUUCUCAUUGUUUGCACCCCUGGUCUGCUACCCUUUGUUUGCACCCCUUUAUUGCUAACAAAAUCACACUUUGACACUUAUUUCUACUUCCAAAACCAGCUAAAGAGAAUUUGUAUAAUAAAAAAGUGUGUGGAGAUAGAGGAAGAAUUCAGUGAGGUUAGUAAAAUUAAGAAUAAAUAAUUUUGCUUUGAAAUUAAGUACAAUCUUAAGACAACUUAAAUUUAAUAUCAGGAUUGAAACUGAUUAGGUGAGUGAGUGUGUGUAAUCGGGUGAGGAAGAAAGAGGAAGAGUGAUAAAUCUUAGAUGACCACCGUAUUUAUUUUAGUAUCGGAAGAAAAUUUUGGUAAAACGUAAAAAGCUUAAGCUUUUUUUUUUCUCUCUCUAGGGAAUGUUCUUGUAAGAGAUAAGAUUUUUUAUUUCUUAGAAUCAUAAAUUUGAAAAUUUUAAUAAUGUUUGAUAUGCAUUAAAAAAAUAUCAUUUUUGGAAAAUGAUGUUUCUAGAGAGUUUUUUCAUAAUCAGUUUCUCAAAAAAAAAAUUAUGAAAGAUGAGAGUUUAAUUUUUUUACUGCAAUAAAAAUAUUAUUAAAUUAUAUAAUAUGAUAAAUAAUUAAAAUAAUCCAUAAAAAUUUGCGUAACUUUUUUAUUUGUUAGAAAUUUCUCUAAAAAAUUUCAAUAAUCAAUUAAACAAAUUUUAUUUAAUCAAUGAAACAUAACAUAAUUUACAAAAAUCAUGAUUUUCUAACAUAAAAAAAUCCUUUCUCUCACCAAACUUACCAUUAAAGGUCAGAUACAUUAGAAUUGAAUUUGACUUUUCUGUUAUCCUUUUUUUAGUUGUCUUUGUGCUGUCCAUGUAGUUGUGUUAAUAUUUAAUUUUGUGAUUCAAUUUUAAAAACUGUGAUUUGUACGGGACAGCACAAGGACAACUGAAAAAGGGACAACAGAGAGGUCCAUAAGAAUUAAUCUUUAUCAUGAGUUAUUUAGUUUCUUUUUUCCUUUUCGUUGUCUGUUUCUUAUGUUUCUGAAGCUUAAAAAAAUCUCUAACCUAAAAACCUGAAUCCAAAAAACUAUUAAUCUUUAACCUUGGCAAAUUAACACUAGCACCGUAUGCACCUCAAGGACACUUCACACCUACAGCUGGUAUAAAUUUUGCUAACCUCCGCAUUAAAGAGCUCAGUAUGAUGACACUCUGGCAUGAAGUGUGUGAUGCUUCCAUAGUUACAUUUAUAUAUCCCCAAAAAAUAAUAAUAAUAAACGGUGCAUAUAAAAUAACCAAUUUUUUCAUUUAAGCUUAUUUUGGUAAAAAAAAAGCCAAACUGCCAAACUAGAGUGAUGCAGAGGUAGAAAAAAAGGUGCCAACCAUUUCCAAAUCUCCUACACCAAAGUUGAGUGCUUGUGUUCACUCACACCCACAACCCCAACAACAACAACAACAACACAAGAGUCUCAAAAUUCAGCCUAUAUAAAGCCCAAUUCCCCCCAUGGAGCCUCCCCAAACUUGAUUCCCCACAACAUUCUCCAAAAUCACCUCAAAAAAUUUCAAGUGCUCGCCAUGGCUGAUGGCAGUAGUAGCAACACCAAGAGCAAUUCCCUGAUCCUCCAUCACCCCACAAACUUGAAGGGUGGUUGGAAUGCUGCCAUCUUCAUCAUAUGUGAGUCCAAAUCAAAACCUCUCUCUCUUUCUCUCCAUCACCCAUUUCCCCCUUUCUUAAUUUUUUGAUUCCCCACAUGAUUCGAGGCACUUUCAGACACUAAAUAUAAAUAUAAACAUCUCUAAUAAAUGAGAAUUCAAACAUUGAUUUACCUAGUUUCAAUUGAUUAAGGGUGUACUUAGAUUACAAUCCAAACACACAUUAAUCCCAUAGACCUAAACCAUGAUUUUUUUUUUCUCUCUUUUGCAUCAUGACGAGUUUGAUCUUGAUUUGAUCAUGUAUAUGUGAUGUGAUGAUGCGAAGAUUAUGUUUUUGUUUUGUGGGCAGUUGUGGAAUUUGCUGAGAGAUUUGCUUACCAAGGGUUGGCAAGUAAUCUCAUCCAAUACCUUACAAAUGUUCUGAAUGAACCAAUCACACAAGCAGCCAAAGAUGUGAACACAUGGGUUGGUGCCUCCUCUCUCUUCCCUUUGCUUGGUGGCUUCAUAGCUGAUUCCUAUCUGGGUCGCUUCAACACCAUACUCUUGUCCUCAGUCAUUUAUUUCGUGGUAAGUAAAAUUUAAUUAAUCUAUUUUUUCACUGUUACAAGUUUAAUUCGUUUGGGUAAAAUAUCGUCAUGUCUCUUCUCUUCUUGAUUCUUGCUAAAUGGGUGGAAUCUAAUUUAUGUGCUCACUGCUCUUCGGAUGCAACAACUUUGUAUUUUUCCAAGUUUUUCGUGUUACGUAUAUGGUCCCACAUCGUGCAGGAACCAUAAUAAAUAUCCGAUUUAAUUAUUUACUAUAUUUUUUAUUUUAGCGGAAUCUCAUAACCGCGUUAUUUUAUUAUCGCAGCAAGACAAAUGCAAAUAAUUAAGCGGUUAUAUAAGACACGGAUUAAGACAUAUAAAAUGUUUUUUUGGUUGAAAAGUAUAAUUAUUAUUAUCAUUAUAAUUUUUAUACUAUUUUCGUGCUAUAUUAUAUAUGUUUUUUUUAAUUUUUAGUUUUUUUCAAAAUAUUUUUUAUUUUAGAAAAUUAUAAAAGUAUUAAGUUUUUUUAUUUGUAAAAAAAAUUAUUAAUUUUUCGUUUUAGUAAUGUUUUUAUGCAUGAAUAUAUCUCACUUUAAUCUUUAAAUGAAUCUAUAGUUACAUUCUAAUUCUUUUAAUAAACAUAUUUUAGUCAAAGAUUUAUUUUGUUACUAUUAAAAUUUGUGUAAAUAAUACUACUUUUUUAAAGAUAAAAGUGUGCAUUACCUUAAAAAAAGAAUGAUAAGAUACAAAGGAGUAUUUAAUGACGCCUUAAUUAGUAUUUUAAUUUAAAUAGAUUUCUUAAUAAAGAUAUUUUUAACAAAAAAAAAUUGGAGUUGAACUUGGUGUAGUUAGUAAUUUUCUAAAGAAAUGUGCAUUACCUUAAAAAACGAAUAAGACAAAAGAGUUUAUUGAUACCUUAACUAGUAGUAGUAUUUUAAAGAUAAUAAAUAACAUAAUUUUUGGUCUCUUUCCAUUCUACACCUGCACCGAGAAAAGAGAAAAGGUUGAAGACAAACCCAAUCCUCAACAAAACUCUUUGAUAAAGAAAGUACAAUAUGCUAGUUUUGAAAUGGGGCCAGUAUACAAUUUUGGGUUAUAACUUAUAACCUUCAAUAUUCAUUUGUAUUAAAGAGAUUUUUUAGUUCUAAAAUAAGGAGUUUUAUUACUUUUUAAACAAAAUUAAAAUAUUUAUUAUUUAAAAUAUUAUAGCACCUAAUUUUUUUUGGUGAAUAACUGCUAUUUAAUUUAUUGAUAGUCAAUAUACAAGGAAUAUUUUUUUAAAAGUAAUGCCUUUCGUAAAUAUAAUAUUUAUAUAGGACUUUUUCUUAUAAUAAAAAGACGGUUAAUGUAAUAAAUGCAAAUGUUGUAAAUAUCAUAACAUGACAUCUUUUUGAGUAUAUUUGCAUCAUACAUGGCUGUUUCUUUCGAACACAAUCUUCAUUGCAUAUUGAAUAAUUUAAAAGAAAUACAUAUCAAUUUAUGUAAAAAAGAAAAUUUAAGUAUAUAUAUAAAAAGUCAGGAUAUAAAACUACUAAAAUUAAUUAGGAGAUACUUGAUUCCUGAUUUAAGUGAUGUAUAUCUUUUCUUAUCCCGUCUUACAUCUACCGUACAUCAUGCUAAACACAUGUGAUUCAUGUUAUAUUUUCAAUAUUUUGAAUUGAAAAUCAACGCAUCAAAUCAAACACUAAGAAAACUUUUUCUAUCACAACCCCUAAUCCACAAUAAUUUUUUCUGUGAUUUCAAUCCUAAUCAAACCAGUUACUUUUUACUUUUAUUUUAUUUUAGUUAAGUUUAUAAAAUAUUAUAAAUUAGUAACAUUGUGUUUUGUCUAUAAAUUCAUCUAAGAAAAUUAUAAAUUAAUAAAAAAAAAUAACUACUAUCACUCAUCAUGAAUUACAUACUAAUUAAAAUUUGUUAGUUUAUGCAAUAAUUACUUGGACAAGAUAUGAAAACUGAUGAAUUAAAUAAAUUACUAUUAGAUAGUAAACAUAUAUAACUUGCAAAAAAACAUUCUUCACGAUUCAAAUUUUUAACACUUAAUUAUUGAGAGGUUAAUUGUUAUAUAUGUGGGGUAUUUCUUGUUGCGGGUACUUUCCACUUCCACGGAUCACUCAAAUGCUUGAGCACAUCUCUUAUGAUUCCAAUAUUCCGAACGAGAUUUGCAUAUUUCCUGUGAUUGUCCACAUUAUACAAGUCAUCACCAUGCAUGCACUGUGAAUUAAUUAAAAAAUAGUUUUUGCCGUUGUUGAUGGAAAAAGAAUAUCAUAUCCUCACGUCACAUGAACAUAUAUGUUACAGGGCAUGGUUUUCUUGACACUUUCAGUGUCGGCACUCAAACACAAAUUCCUUUUUUUCUUGGCACUUUAUGUCCUUGCCAUCGGCGACGGAGGUCACAAGCCUUGCGUCCAGACCUUCGCCGCCGAUCAGUUCGACGAGGACACGCCUGAGGAGAAGGAUGCCAAGAGCUCAUUCUUCAACUGGUGGUACUUGGGGAUUGUGGCUGGCUCAACUGCUUCUGUUUUUGUUGUCAUAUAUCUUCAGGUAAAUUCAUGAAAUUCGAUCUUAAGACUAAAGUUUUAAUUUGUGCGAUAAAAGAAAUAUGAAAUCAUUAAAUAUUGACCAUUUUAUUAUAAUUUUAGAGGCUAAAGGGAAUGUUAUUUGAUCAUGUUUGGAUAUUAAAAUGAUUACUUUAUAGUAAUUUUAGAGAAUAAAAUGACAUUUUAAUAAUUUUAAAGACUAAUUUAAUGUAUUGAUAUUUUUUAGUUUAGAUAUUUCAUAAUUCAUGAUAAAAAGCUAGCAUCAAUUUGAUUGUCUAAUAUUAAUGAAUAGUAAUUUUUCUAAGAGAAACUCUCUCGUACGGUGACUACGGGCUAGGUAUGAUCUAUUAAAAACUCAAAAGGUAAGUAAAAUUAAUGAUAAAAGAGAUAAUAAAGUCAGUACGUAAUCAAGUUUUUUUUCAUUAUUAUCUUAAGCUUUAAUUUACAAAUAAUUUUUUCCAUUUUAUAUCUUAUGACGUUAAUUUGAUUCCAAUACACGGUAUUUUUUGAAAUAUUUUGAUUGAAAAGAAUCAUUUGAGAAUCAAAUUGUUGUUAUAAAGUCUUUUGAAAAUCUGUCGAGUGACAAAAGUUGGAUUUCCUCAAUUGUUAAUUUGUUUGUUUAUGACCAACUUCUUUACCUGUAUUAGAUAAUAUCCACGUUUAGCACAUCUCUUCUAUGUUUCAUUUUUUAAAGCGUCAUUAGUCAACUUGUAUGUGAUGGCUUUGCAUUCCAUCUCUUUCCCAAACAAUUGUAAUUAAUACUUUUGCAUUCUUUAGAUUUAACAACACAAAACAAUAACUAAUUAAUUUAGAAUAAAGUUGUUUUCUUAGCACUUUAAGCUCUCUUGUUUUUUUAUAAUGAAAUUAUUUUUCUAUUUGUUCAUCUAUUUUUUGAAGUCUAUGAUUGAAUCUCUAGAUUUGCUUCUGGGGAGAAAACCAUGAUUGAAUAUUAAAAGUAUUAUAAAAUAUUUUUUUAUUAGUCAGUAUCCAAUACCCAUUGUCAUCUUAUGAAGUGAAAUAAGAAAGUAAUUAAUUAAUCAAAAGAGCGUCACCGAUAUAUAAUAUAAAAUAUGAUAUCUGAGUUGACAUAAGGUAGGUGAGAUUUGUAAAAUAAGAGAAACAAUAUAAAAUUUAUUUGUUUCUUUUUGUGUGUGUAACGCCAAAACAAAUAGAAUAGUACUAUAGUGGAUAAACAUACAAGGAAAAUUUAUGGAUCACACACAUUUCUUUAUUAGAAUAUCAAGUUUCAAUAACAUGGGAACAUAUUCCACAUAGAAGUCUUUUCCAUUUAUAUGCAUCACCCUUGGACAAGUUAAGUGAAACAGAUUGUUCAUUGUAAAAAGGUGAGAAGAGUGGACGCUGUAGUGUCUUGUACAUUUUACAAAGAAUGUUAGGUUAUAUAUGGACAAAAAUUGAGUUUACACUACUGUUAACAAUUUCUUGGAAAGUCAUGGUUAUCUAUAACCAUAUAUAAUAGCAAUAGCACUUUUUUAGUCUUUAUUUUUUACACGCAUGUAUCCCUCAACUACAAAUAUAAUUGAUCCCACUCUUUUCAUGUCAUAACCGAUGUUGUAUCCUUUAAUUACGUAUUCCCAUUUUUUUUUUAUUGAACUUCUUCUCUUUCUCUCUUUUAUUUUGUUAUAUUUUUUCCUUUUAAAAAAAUGUUUCCCUAAUGAUUAUUAAUCUUUUCAAUUAUUUGACAAAACAUGAUUAAAAUGUUAUAAAUAUUUUAUAAGAAUUUAAUUAAAAUAUAAUGAUAGUAUAAAUAUGUUUUAUAUUAAUUAUCAUCUAAUAAUUUGUUAAUUUAUAGUAUAAUAUAUCAACAUGUGAUUGACCAUAUAAAAUAUUUUACCCCAACCUCGUUUUAUAAUAAUUUGUGGACAAAAUGUAAAUACUGAAAAUAUCACAUAACACCAAAACUCUAAGUUUAUAAUUUUUUUAAAGGCUAAAAAUGAAAUAUAUUAAUAAUCUUGGCUUCAGUACAAGAUGUACUCAAAACUAAGCUAGCUAAAAGCAAAAAAUAAGUCAUCUCUGAAAGUACAAGUGUCACGAGCAAAGUAUGUAGGUAGUGAAGCAAUCAUACUUGCUAGACACCAAAGCAUAAAACAACUCCAUCGCUUGGAACUGAUAAAGUGAAUAAAAAAUGAGGUGAAUUCCAAGCUUGAGAACAUAGGUUCAAAACAUCAGCACGAUAAGCAUAUAUAGAAACUUGGUGCAGCUUUUUGCAUACAAACAAAUACUUCUACUGAUUUUCUAUGUUUAUCAUAACCCCACAUAUAUAUCAUAUAUAAUAAUAACUAACCCCAUAACUCUGUUUAUCAUAACCACACACACAUGAUGUCAUGAGUAAGAAUAACCCAUAAUAUAUGUAUGGCUUUGAUAUACAAUUAUUGACUCCUAUUACCUGAUCAUGUUUUGAUGAAUAACCACGUACAUAUGAAUAUGAUGUCAUAUAGGUAAGAAUAUAUAUAACCCAUAUAUAAUUUGUUAGUUUCCUUAAAAAUAUCAGUAGCUAAGAUUUAGAUCUGUGACUUUUUUUUUCCUUUCUUUAUUUUUUUUAAUUACUUAGUCAAAUUUAUAUCUCCGACCCAUAUAUGACUGACUUUGAUAAUUAUUUAUUGAGUCCUUAUCUGAUCAUGUUAUGGCAAAGAGCCAAUAAGGCAAUGAAAUAAUUGUAAUUUGAUGAAGUUGAUGUGGAUUUGAAUGAAAUUGAACAAAAUAGGACAAUGUUGGGUGGGGAGUGGGGCUAGGAGUGCUGGCAGGGGUGUUGGCUUUGGCAUUGGCACUCUUCUUGUUGGGAAUCAAAAGGUACAGAAAGGAAGGCCCUGCAGGGAGCCCAUUCACCAGGCUGGCCCAAGUCUUUGUCGCCGCAUCGCGCAAGUGGCGCGUGCAGGCCACGCACGGUCACCACAAUUAUUGCUAUGACGAGGAUGAGGAGCAUCAUGAGCCCCAUAAUCAUCUCCAUGUUCAACCCAAAAUCCACACUCUCCUCCAUACUCAUCAAUAUAGGUGGGUGUCACACUCUUUCUAACUAACUACUAGAACCCUCCAUGUUUUUCUUUCCAUCAUGAAGUUAUUAUUAACAAAAAAAGAAGAAGCUAUACUUUACGAUGUCAUAGCCAUUUCAAAACAAUAAAUGAAUAACUAAUUUUUGUAGGUGCAUGAAAUACUUUCAUCAUGUGGUUUAUGAUUAAGUUGAAGUGGAGGGAAUGGUAUGAUGUUGAAAUUGUGGUGGGAAGAGUAAAGUUUGUUGAAUAGUUUUGAUUAAAUUUUUUAUGCUUAUAUUUAUAAUAUGCUUUUUAGUUAGUUUGAUGAUAAAGACAUUGAGCAAAUAAGUUAAAUUUGAGUUUUUUUGUUAGGGAAGGAGAAUAAAUAUAAUGAACAUAUAUAUAAUCAAAGUCAACUAUCUUCUUAAAAGGAAUAAGGAGGUUUUCCAAAAAUUUCUGCUCUUCUGAAUUGUAAAGGUGAGCUUUAGAAGAUAACGCACAUGUAAUUAUUGAUUAAAAAAAUAGCGAUUAAAAUUAUAAUAAAUAUUAAAUGCAUAUAUAUAGUAAAUUUGAAGUUAGUUGCAAUCAUGGUCAUUAGUAUACUUUAUUAAUUAUCCGAAAUACACUAUUCUCACUUUAGAAAAGUGGAAUCCUUUCUCAUACUCACAUGGUAAAUGUUAUUAUAUGCAUGUAAGCAUUUUUAAUAUCUCGUGUUAAUAAGGAGGUCUCUCUUCCUCUUUUUCUUUGCAUCCUUAACACAAGAACAACUUCUAUGAACAACAGAGUAUUUAUACACAAACUAAUCAAAUGCAUAGAUCGAAUAAUAUUAAAAUAACCAUAACAUAGGUUUCAACAUAAGGCUUUAACAUAGACUUUACCACCACCUAAAAAUAAUAGACUUUCAUCAUUAUUUAAUACAUUCUAAGUAUCUAAUUAGUUGUAGCACUCAUACAAGAAUUAUUCCCACAACACUUAAUUACUAAUAAUCCAUUUGGAGAAUUUUUCUAGAUAGCUUUUACAAUGGAGUCAACUCUGAAACAUCAAAACUCAUGGGGGCCACACUAGGGUUGGGUCUAUGGUUUUGAGUUGAUACCAACAACAAUUCAUUGUGGAACUACUAGACUCUCUUUUUUCCUGCCUUUUUGUUGCUUCAAAGUUGACACUUUCUAUUACCACAUCAUUGCUAAAACGAAAUUUAAUUGCAACAGAUUUUUGGACAAGGCAGCGAUCAUAGAUGAAAUUGAUGCCAAGACGAAGACAAGAGACCCUUGGAGGCUAUGUUCAGUGACACAAGUUGAGGAAGUGAAGCUUGUCCUUCGUUUGAUUCCAAUAUGGCUAAGUUGCUUAAUGUUCACUGUUGUACAAGCUCAAGUGCACACAUUUUUCAUCAAGCAAGGUGCCACAAUGGUACGUACCAUAGGACCACAUUUCCAAGUCCCACCAGCAUCGCUCCAAGGCCUAGUUGGAGUCACAAUACUCUUUGCUGUGCCAUUCUAUGACCGUGUCUUUGUGCCACUAGCAAGGAAAAUCACAGGGAAACCCACUGGGAUAACAGUGCUACAAAGAAUUGGGGUAGGACUUUUCUUGUCAAUCCUUAACAUGGUUGUGUCAGCACUUGUGGAGGCCAAAAGGGUUGGUGUUGCAAAAGAGAGUGGCCUAAUUGAUGACCCAAAAGCAGUGUUACCAAUCAGCAUUUGGUGGCUGCUUCCUCAGUACAUGAUCACUGGGAUCUCUGAUGCAUUCACAAUUGUGGGGCUACAAGAGUUGUUUUAUGACCAAAUGCCUGAGGCACUUAGGAGUUUGGGGGCUGCAGCAUACAUUAGCAUUGUGGGGGUUGGGAGCUUUGUUGGCAACAUUGUUAUAGUUGUUGUGGAGGGUGUGACAUCAAGGGCUGGUGAGAAGUGGCUAGGAAACAACCUCAAUAGGGCACACCUUGAUUACUUCUAUUGGGUCUUGGCAGGGUUGAGUGCUGUUAAUUUGUGUGUUUAUGUGUGGCUUGCCAUUGUUUAUGUGUACAAAAAAGUUGAUGAGGGUCAUCAAACUAGUGACCAACAGGGUUCUAGCCACAAGAAAUACAAACCUGGAGUGUGAGGGGAAAAAAAGUUACUGUUUGGCUUCUGAUAUAUGCAGCGAAUGCCAAACAUACCAAGUCCAAGAUGAGAGUUAAGUAUAGAUUAACAUUGUAAUUCCAAUAAAUAGUAAUCUUAGUUGCAUCUUAGAGAGAGAGGCUAAUUGUUUAAAACUAGUUAUAUUUAGUUAAAACUAUAAAUAUUUGAAGGCUUUCUUAAGCAUUGUAUAAAAUCAUUAGAGUUAAUAUAUAAUUUAAUUCUGAAAAUGAUCAUUUGUGAUUGUUUAAGUUGACAACUUGAAAGGACUAAUUUGUUAACAAAUGGCAUUUUGGGAAACCAAUAUUCAUAGACUUACAUUCUCAAGAACUGAGAAAAUACAAAUUGCUACUUUUGAAAAACCAAAUUACACAACAAUAAUUUUAAAAUGAAGUAUAUUGCAAAAUUGGACUACAUUAACAUUAGUAUUAGAUAUAAUAUUGUUAUUCUUCAAGAGCUACGCCAAUGAGUGUUUGAAAACAAGUCAUUAAGAUAUGUUAACAAUAUUAAUACUGGAUAUAAUAUUCUUCUUUUAAAAGUUAUAUUUAUCAGUGUAUUAUUUAGACAAAAUUAUAUUUUUGGUCCACUUAAUUGUUUUAAAUUUUAAUUUUAGUCUCUCUUUAAAUUUAUUUACCAAUUUAGUUCCUUAAUUAUGUUAAAUGUGAUUCCUAAGCUCAUAUUUAAAUAUUAAUUAUCAUAAAAAAACAUUAAUUCUAAUAUUUGUGUGUUCUCCUCCAAUCAAAAAUACUGCAUGUUUAUUAGUAACUUUAGACAACAAGAAAUAGACAAUAAAUGGAUUUGAAAAAGUUGAAAUCAGAUUAUCAAAAAGUACAUUAAAGCAACUCGAUGCAACAUAUACUAAAUGUGUGUGUUGUUCUCGUUUAAAUUUGUGUUAAAAUUGGACUACUUUAAUCUCAAUACUGAUAUUACAUUCUUCUUCUGACAAUUUUAUUUUUUUUCAGAACUUAAAUAAAUGACUUGAUCUAAGAAGACAAUAAAUAGACAAUCAAUAUGUUUGGUAUUAAAUCACAAUAAGGUGAAAACAAUCUAGAAUAACAUAGAACAAAUAUAUAUUUUUCAUUUUCCGAACAUAAAUGCGAGCACCCACUACCUAAAUAACAUACCUAAUCUUAAUAUUUAUUUCAAGAAGUAACAUUAAAAUAACAUAUUUGAGUUAGAGUUAUAGUUAUUAAAAUUGGAUAAGGCUCGAUGAGUUGGGAAAGUUCCACCGGGACCCAAUGUCUAGGGCGGUUGGUUAAGAUGUAGGAACAAAAAUAUAAACAAUUUGGUCGGGUUUGUUGAAAUCUAAUGACUCCAAUUGAGUUUUCAGUUCCUAUAACAAAUUAUUAACCGUUAAUUAUUAAAUGAUAUAUAUAAUAUGUUCCUAUAAUAUUUUUUUAUCUUGAUAACAAUAUAUAAUUAAUUAUUAUCAUAUUGAUUAUAAUAUAAUAUAAUAUUUAUGUGUUAUAUUUUUAUUAGAAUUUUUAUGGUCAUUGGGUGACUUUUAUAUUUAGUAUUGGAAAACAAUUUUUUUAAUGAUAAUACAUAUAAAAUAAUUAUAGUAAUAAAUGAUUAUAUAAUAUUUAUAAUUUGAUCAUGAUAAUAAAUUUAAUUUCUGAAUAUAAAAAUAUAAAUUGAUUAUAUUUUAUUAGAUAUAUUAUAUUUUAAUUUUUUAAUGUAUAUAUCAAAUCAAUAUAAAUGAUCUAUCAAUUAAAUCUUUGACUCACUGAUUUAAUCCGUCCAUGAUGGAAUCCAUUUUCAUAAAACGUGUCAGAAUAUAAAGGAUAUCUAUACCAAACUUGUUAGAGUAAGUAAAGGUAUAGGCAACCAACCCAAGUUUAAUUUUAAAUUUUUAUUAUGAAACAUGAGUAUGAGAAGCUUUUGUAUCUGCAAACUCACAAUUUAAAUAGUGUCGCGAUAAAGAAGCAUUUCACAUAAUGGUCUUUUUCAAGCCUUUCUCACUAACUGUUGUUACUAAUUAUUGCAUAGUGUCAUAUUAAACUUCACAAAUUAACCUAUAUGUGACAUUAGAUAAAGCAAAAACCUAAAAGUUUUUGCGAAAACUGUCAAUUAUUACCCGCUCAUGGUCUAUGUUAUUUUUUUUUUUCUUUUACAGAAUCUCUGUUAAAAGUUAAAACUAUAUUUUUCUCCUAUUUUUUAAUUUAUAUUGCAAACAAUCACACACAACUCUUUUCGCCAUAUAUUCCGAACGAAACUUUUAUCGUCAAAAGCUCUUUUAUUUCACGAAUUCAGAUAUUUUAUGACAAACUAAUUUUUUUUAAUUCAAUUUAUAAUCAUACAAAAAAAAACUCUAAAAAAUAUAAAGGAAUCAAAUCUGACAUAGCUAAAUUUAAAGCGUCCCUAGUAGGAGCAUCUUUAACGGAUACUUUAACGGGCAAAGCAAGUGAUAAUUGAGCAAAGAGACACGCCAACUUUGUUCCUACAGCUUUUUAUGAUUUUAUCUAUGUGCAGCUAAAAGCAUAAAAAAGGGUGUGAUAUAUAUCACAAUGGUUCUUAAAAUUAUAAACAUUAAUUAAUUUCAUUUCAUUUCUGAAAUUAUCAAAUGGCGAUUAUUUAAAAAGAGACUUUCAUUGAUUAAUAACUUCAUAAACUAAAAUGGCUGUCACUUAAUAAUUUAAGAAAUUAAAAUAAUAUUUUUAUAAUCUUAAAAUUAAUUAAUUUAGUUUCUGAACUAGUUGCAGAUGUUUUAUAUUAUUAAAAACUUCAUAAACUUAUCAACAAAUCAUUACUUCAACUAAAACUAGACUCAAAUCCUUUAAUUAAAAGAGAAAAAAAAUUAUACAUUAAUAAUAUAAUUUUCUUUUACCAAUUAUCAAUUAAAACACAUUAUGGAGAGUAAGUUUAAGUUUAUUAAUUUUUAAAAUAAUUUAAAAAAUAUAUUUAUAAUAAAUGAAAAUAUAAGAUUGUUUUACAUUAUUCGUAUGAGCAUUAAGCUAUAACUAAAAUUCAUUCUCAACUUUUUUUGAUUUAAAUAAAUAAUCGACAAAAUCACGAAAUGGUUCAUAUUAAUAACAUAGUUACCGAAAAUAAAAAAGAUAAUACAUCAUUAUUCUUAUUUUCUUCCUUCUUUAUUUUAUUUCCUUUCAACCAUAUAUUAUUCAGACCAUACCUUCUCUCGCAGAAUUUUGAAGAAUUUCUUACCGUAGACCCUGGUUCUUCCUUCCUUUGGGCAUGAUAAAGGUUAGUGACGAACGGUUGAAGUAAUUGGAAAGACACUCAAAGUCAAACAAAGGCUUAAAUCAAUGGUGACAGACUGACAGUGGCUGCCACAAUUGUAAAUGCCUCAAGGAACUUUGGAGCCAUAUUUAUUCCAAGAAAGAUUUGUUGGGAAAAAUGUAAAUAUCGCGUUAUCUAAAAAUAAAGUUAAAGUCAAAUUAAGAUAUAUAAAUGAGGAGUAAUUCAUAUCUUUCUAAUUAAUUUUUAGGGUUAAGUUAAAUGUAAAUCCACAUUCGUUAAGAUUCUAAGAAGAUUAAUUAAACUCUCUACAAUGGCUGCAUAUAUAAAAAAAUAAAAAAUACACUCUAUAAUGACUUGCUCAGCUUGGUCCAAUAAUUUCUGAAAUUAAAAGAAAAAUGGCUUGCUAUAUUUAAAGUAAUCAAAUGACUACUAUUAUUUUAGAAAUCUUAACCGUUAUUGAGUAACUUCAUUAAUUAAAUAAUAAUAAUCCCUUAGAAUGUAUUUGGAAGGCAAAAUGAAAAUAAUAUUAAACAGAAAUUUUGUACUUUUUAGUGGAAUGUAUAUCUUUUAAAUUUUAUUUUAAUUCAAAAAAUUUGAUUUUGUUUUCAUUUCUAAAUCAAACAACCAUUAAUAUUUUAACUGAAAAAUAGAAAUAUUUUGUACAAUCUUUCAAAACUUCAUCAGAUAUUCUAACAAGAAAAUAGAUUAUGGGCUGAUAACAUUAAUAAAUUUUAUAUUUUCAUUUAACUACAUAGUUCUUUAUAUAAAGUGAUGGAUCAAGAAAUUUUAAGUUGUGGAAACAAUAUCAUGCAUACAAAUUUUCGGGAACAAUAAUUAUAUUAUAAAUUAUUUUUUUAAUUGCAUUUCAAAUUAUAAGAACAAUUAUUUUUUUCAACUAUGCAUAUAUUUUAUACAAAAAAAUUUAUAAUAUUGUAAAAGAUUGUUCUUUUCUAUUACACCGGUUGACUUUUAUCAUAAUUAAUUUAAAAAUUAUAUCAAAAAUAAAUUAUAAUUAAACGAUGAUAUAAAAUAAUUUUAUAAUAUUAUAAAAGAUUGUUCCUUUCUAAUUUCUAUUAUACCCAAAUCCGUUGACAUAUUUUUUCUCUGACAAGAAGCUAGGGCAAAAGUAAGGGGCAGUAGUACCCUCAAUAUAAUGACUCCCACGUGGGUAAUCUCACGUGCGGCGAACCAUAUUGGCACGUGCAGCUUCCUCCACAGAAGAAACAAACCACUCCAUGCAUCAUGCACAUGCACUCCUAUAAAGGUGUCCCAAUGUCUCUGAGUUUCUCUUGUCAACAGGAUUCCCACCCCUAUUUUAAUUAAUUUUUCAUAUUGCACAAUAUUUUAUUUGCUAUAUUAUUUUAUUUAUUUUUUGGCUUUCAUAAAGUGGCACAGCUUUCUCCACCUUUCAGAAGCACAUGGACAAAAGUGUCACCAUCUAUGUUGGUCACAUGUCACUACACUAAUCUUUGCACGGAGAAUAAUUUUUUAAUCUUUUUCAUAGUACAAUGCAUCCUCCUAAAUCCUACUUAUUACAUAGGAAAAAAAGUAUUAGAUUAUUGUUUAUCUUAUCAAAACAUUAAACUUUAUCUAGUGUAUAAUUUAAUAUUUCUCUAAUGUUUUAGUGUUUGUAGUACAUAUGAAGUCAACUACCAAUUCGGGAUAUCUAAGUCGGAAGUUAAGAUUAAUUCUUUAUUGAAAUUUAUUUAAUAUAUUGACAUUUUUUCAAGAUGUUUCUCUAUACACACCUCAUGGAAUUGAAUCCUUCAACAUAUAUUCGGGAACAAAAUAUAUCUUAGGAAAAACGUAAUAAAUUAUUGUCAAGACAUUAAACUAUAUCUAAUUUAUGUGUAGAAUUAUUUAUUUAAUAUGAAAAUUUGUAUUUCAUUUCCUUCCUGUGUAAUUUUCUUAUAGUUAGUGACGACGAUCAGGGGUGAAUCCAUACUAAGAAGGUAGCAGGAACCAACAAUUAAAUACAAUAUAAUAAAUUUUAUACCAAAUUUUUAUAAUUAUAUAUUUCAAAGCAUAUAUUAAAAUAAUAAGAUAAACUAAACAUUUUAAAAAAAUAUGCAUAUCAAAUAUCAAUUCCACAUGCCAUUAAGAACUUUCAUAAAUGUUAUAAUAAGAAAUAAUAUUUACGUUAAUCAUAUAAUUUUAGGAAAAGGUUCUAUUAAUUUUGUUCAGAAAAUUUAUUAAAUCAACUUAAAUUAUGUUAUAAGAUGGUCUUUUAUGAGAAUAAUAAUCAAUAUCUAUAAGAAAAUUUUUCUUAUAAACCGUUGAAUAAUAAUAAGAAAAGAAGAAUGCUGCAUGUGACAAUAGUCAUUCUGUGUUAGUAAAUUUUGGCAAACCUACUGUACAUCCAAUAUCUGAUUUGCUUCUCCAAAAAUUACAUUAACCUUAUCUAAACAUGUGAACUAAAAAAUAUACAAAGAAUAGUGUUAAAUAAAAAAAGAAUAAUUUUUUUAUUUGUGUCUCAGAACUCAAACUGUCAAAUUCUUAUAUAAUAUUUAUCAACAUGUCCAAUUGGUAAAAGUUAAUAAAUAAUCUUUAAUUUUCAAAAUAAAUUAUCAAGGGAAUGCUAAUAAAAUUGUUUGAUAUAUUAUUUCAAAUAAAAAUAAUGAAUUAUAAAAAUUAAAAAAUAUUAAAAGUGGAAAAUUGUACUCAAAUAUUUUAUCUAAAAAAAGAAUAUAAUUAUCUUCACAAUGAAGAUCAUAAAAAGAUAUUGACUUAAAUAUAUUUUUUAUACUUAUAAUAUAUUUCUUUCUCAAUUUGCUUUCCAAAAAAUAUUUUUUUAUUUUUUUAUCUGACAAUUUUAAACUUUUAUUUUUUAUACCUACCAUUAAUUUAAGUCUAUUAAAUAAUGACAUUACACUUAGUUUAUCAUAUCUUCAUUUUUAACUUACUAGUCUAAUGUUAGAUACAAAAACAAAAGUUUGGAAAUGUCAUAUAUAUAUAUAUAUAUAUAUAUAUAUAUAUAUAUAUAUAUAAUAUUAUCUUCACAAUAAAAAUUAUAAAAUCGAAUCAAACAAUAAUUUUUUAAAUAUAAGAGAUAAAGACAUUUAAAUAUUAUAUUCAUUCCAAAAUAAAAUAAUUGUUCUAAUUUUAAAAUAAUAUAUACAAUAAAAAAAAUUAGAAAAAGUUAAUGAGGAGGGAAGAGCAAGUCCCCCGGGACCAACGUAGGCUUGCCCCUAACUACAAUCAUGCAACAUGAACAAGAUCAAUUUGUAAUCCACGGGAUUAGAGAGGAUACCUAUGAUUUCUGAUCCAAGCAAAAAAUCAUAUCUAAUAUUAUUGUAUGAUUCAAUAUUAGUAAUCUAUAAGAAGUUCAAAGUGUUUAAUUUUUUCAUGUAUCUUUCGACCAAAAUUUAAAAAUUAGUCUCUUGAAGUAUAAAGCUUCACCUAAGGGAAUAAUCUUUUUUAAUAUUUUCAUACAUACAAAUUUGGAAUCGAAUUCAAUAACUACAUGGGAACUAAAAUUAUUUAUCAAUCAUAUCACACUUAGAUUAAAUUUGUUGAAUUUAGAACUAUAUAGAAUAAUAAAAAAUUAUAUGAAAUGAAACAAUAAAAAGCAUAGAGAAUAAUCAGAUGAGUCCAAUCCAACUUCUUCAGGUGCUAGGAUUAAGUGUGAACUUUUACAUAUUCAGUUGAGUUUGACAAUGUAAGUCGAUUUUUACUUAACAUAUGGUGACCACUUCCCCUUGCAGCUAGCCUAAGUAAUCAAUCUCAUGAAAUGUGAACACUUGUUGGAGAUAUUCGAUGUUGCCUCCGAACAAGGUCCGAGAUAUUCUCGCAAGGUGGUCUUCUUUUUCAGGCAGAGCAGAGAUUGGUGGCGAGCAGUUACUGAAGAUUUCAGCGGAAUGGCCGUAAGAUGUCAUAAACGCAUAGUGACACAUUUAUAAGGACAUUCUGUGGUGGACUGAAGUAGGAUCCGAAAAUGAAUUGCAUCCAAAUAGUGAACUCAUUUAACUUGUGUAAAAACUCAAAAAUGGGUUGAACCCAUAAUUAAUCAACCACACUAAUGAGUAAAGAGACUGGUUGGAUUGAUGCAUUUGAUUUAUUUUUUUUCGUUAAAUGCUUUUAUGCAUUAUUUGGUUAAAUAUUUUUUUUUGUUAUUAUGAAUUUUUUUAUUUUGCACUACAUUUAUUUAAUUCGUGAUAAUAACUUGUAGAGAGCAUUUGUGUCAAGGUUUAGUACCUUAAUAUUCUUGUGAUUGUAACAUUAUGCUUUGGCUUAAAUGAUUUAUAUUUUAUUUAUUUAUUUGACAAAUUAACUUAUAAGUUUUUAUUUUUUUAUUUUUAUAAUUUUUAGUAAGUCAAUCUAACCCAACCCAAAAAUCAAUUAAGGUUGGAUUAUUCAAUUGAUUCAAUUCAAAAUGAAUUCAACUCAAAAUGAAUUCAACUCAAUCAAAUCUAUUUUUUUUUUACAAGAGUAAAAUGAGUUAGAUUUUUUUUAUGCAUAGCAUUUAGUGAGAGGGAGUGGUGUUGAGUCCAAAGUAAAAAAAUUCCUCAAACUCAAAGAACAUAUAUAUAUAUAUAUAUAUAUAUAUAUAUAUAUAUAUAUAUCACCUCAAAUUCAAAGAGACAAAUAAGAAGUUGAACCAAACCUAUAAGAUAUGAAAUUAUAUUUUAUUCCAUUCCAUCAAUCUUUCGAAUUAAUAGAUUGAGUAAGAUCAAUUAUUUUCACAUCUCUAAAAAGUGAAUUGUGCAGGCUCAAUGACCCUAUUUGAAAGUGUUUACCUAUUUUGAGAGUUUUAUGCUAUGAAUUUAUUCUUAAUUGAGGUAUGGUUUUGGGUUCAAGGAUAUAUUUAAUUCACCCUGCAACUGAGACCUCCUACGAACUUCCACUCAAUUACUUUUAUGGGCCUUUGAGUUGACUUAUAUUCUGGGUCGAGGUGAAUCAGCUCUGUGGAUUGGGCUUACGUUGUCCAAUCAAGAACAAAAUCCACCUAUUUGUAUUACUCACGUUUAAUGCUUUUGCGGUUAUUGUAUCUCCGUAGUAAGGAGCUGUUAAAUAUUUAUAAAAAUAAAUAAAUUAGUGUCAACAUUGAAGUCACCGAGACAUUUAGUUUCAUGCUAUGAAAUACGAAUACUUUCUCUUGGUGUUAUUAUGUUAGACAUGUUUAUAACAUGACACAUCUUAACAUUUGUUUAACACUUGUGUGAUACUUUUUAUUAGGUAUUUAAUUUAAAAAUUAUUUUUUGUUAGUUUAAAUACUUAAGUUGUCACAUUUACACCAUUUAUACACUUAAUAAACAUGGAAGAUUGAUUUAAAAAGAUGAAUAUACCAUUUAUUCAAAUAUUUUGUUAAUUGUUACUCAUAUUCAUUUCAUUAGAGUCUUUCUUAUGUGUGUAUGUGAUGCCCCAUGUCCUAGAUUUUAGAUAUUAGUCAUGUCAAAAUGUUAGUAUCAAUGUCAAAAUUCGUGCUUCAUAGGUUCCAUGACAUUCAAUAUUUCUAUAUUUACCUAUGACUCAACACAAAUGUCACAAUUAAGAAAGGGAACUCAAAUUGUUUGCUAUCUCAUUUUUCAUUAUAGUCGUUGAUCUAAUUAAAUUAUGUAACAUUCAUUUUAACGUUUCUCACCAAAAUUUUAACUUUGUAAUAGUUGUUGAUAUAAUUCAAUGUGAUCUAAUAUUAAUGGAGGAUUAUUAAUUUUUAAAAUUAAACUUAUAUAUAUAUAUAUAUAUAUAUAUAUAUAUAUAUAUAUAUAUAUAUAUAUAAUAAAAGAUAAUUAUGAUUGAGUGUCUUUUGAUUUACUCUUUUUAUUAAAUAGAAAUAGAUAAAACUAAUAAAACAAAAGAUAAUGUAGUUACUCUAAAAUAGUAUUUGUUAUGCCCUCUCCAUUUGUAUUGUUAUACUGUCCCUUCUUAACAAUAAUAAUAAUAAAUAAUGAUAUACAAUUUUGAUUAUUCUAAAUGAGUAUUUAAUUUAUGAUGUGGUGAAGUUAAUCAAAUCAAAUAUUCAAUAAUAUCACAUAAUUAAAAUUAAUACCUUAAAAAUCUUUAAAAAUAUUACUUUAAAUAAUUAAGAACUAUAUCUAUUUAAUAAAAAUUAUACUAUUUCAAAAAAAAAUAUUUAAAAAUGUAAUUUUGAUAAUAAAUGUAUUUAAAAAUUAUUACAUAUUAACAUUAUAUCAACAAUAAAUAAAAUAAAUAGAAAAUUUUAAUAAUUAAUUUAGUAUUAUAUAUUUAUAUUUAUUAUUUUGGAUUCUUUUUUAAUUUAUACUUUUUAUAUAAUAAGAAUAGAUUUGAAAAUCAAAAAUAAAUGUUUGAUUAUGUUUUUUCCCUUCCUAUUGAUUAUGUUGAUUAUGUGAGUGAGAAAUGAUAUAAGUGCCAAAUUACUCACACCAUUCUUAAGUUUUUUUCUUUCAGAACCAUUAUUAUGAUUAUGUAUUUUAAAAGACUCAUAUAUUUAAUGAUUUUAGAAUUAAUUUAAUUAUUUUAUUUUAUAUUUUAUUUAUACUAUUUAAAUUGUAAUAUAUAUGAAAUAUAUAAUUUAUAAGGAAAUAUUUGAUAAGUUACUUUAAUAAGUGAUAGUAUUUGAUAUACUUUAUUUAUAAUGAUAACUGAAAAAAUUGACAAUCAAUGUGCCUAAUUUUAAAAAAUACAUAUGAUACUUAAAAUUUCAUUUAUAAGGAAUUGCUUAUACUAAAUUAUAAAAUGAUACCAACUUUAUUUUUUUAAAAUAUUUUUAUAACACAAAGGAUUAACAAAUUUUAAUUUAAAUAAUUAUAAAUUUAUAUUUAUUAUUUUUCUUUUGAAUUUAUAUAUUUAGGUAUUACAUCACUAUUGUUACUUAGAGAAAAAGAACAAAUCAUGAUAAAUUUUAAAAUACUUAGUGUUUUUAAAGAUAAUAUCUGCCUUUUUAAAAAAAUAUAAUUAAUUUUUUACUCAAUUUUAAUGCAAUUGUAUUUUAUAUGAUACUAUAUAUUUGAAAAAUGAUAAAUUUAUUUUUUACAUAUAUAUAUUUAAAUAAUACUAAAUACAAAUAAUACUAAGUACAAAAAAUUUUAAAAUUUGUAAUUUAAUUAAACAUGUGUAUGGCAGAAAUAUAAAAUUUAGUAGAUAUGUAAUAUUUCCUUUUUAGGAGAAGAGUAAAACAUUUGUAAAUAAAAAGAAAAACAGAAAAUUUGGGAAUUGGUAACCAUAACAUUGACCAUUGUUGUUUUCAAUAGUUGAGAAGUACACAUUAGUUAGGAGGUUGUCAAAGGUUGAGAUUUAGUCAUGCAAUUAAUUAGUUAGGCACAUAACAAUGAUAUAAAUGGGUCUAUCUUAUCAUCGGUGGUUAUAUUUUAUUAGAUUAAUCAAUACAAUGACAUACUUUUAUAGUUAAAAUCUAGUAAGAUUAUAAUGUGUUAUUUUUUCUUUGGCGGAGCCAUGAGCUCAUGGAUGCCAUCGCUCAUCUAUGCUCCUUGCUUGGAAAAACAUGUCAUCGCUAAUACGGCUCCAUUGAUGACAUGCAAACUGAAUCGUCCAUGAGUCUAGUCCUCAUUCGUCAUUGGUUCAAAUGUUAGAAGGCUUUAUUUGUUGAUGAUAAUUGAUAUUCUAUUGAGAUGAUGUAGAUGAUGAUGUUGAGUUUUAGAAUUCACAAAACUUCGUCUACUGCAAAAGUCGCAACCCCUUCUCUUGGCUAUUUGAAUUCACACAAAGCUUCAUUCACACAAAUUUUGUUUAUCGGCUUACAAUACUAGUAGAGGUGUUAGAGACACUAAAAACUGAUUUAACAUUCACGCAUUUUCAUUUCUGGCUAAUUUGUAAGUAUUUUUUUUCUCUCACACACACAAUCUCUCAUGCUCCACAUCUUGAUUGAAGCUUUAUCUUAUUCUAGUCUAGGUUGUUGCCAAGAAAGUCAUAAUAUUAAUUUCAUCAGUUAAUGCACUAAUGCUUGUAAUAGGAAAGAAACAUUUAUAAUGCAAGCUUUACUACAAAUUUGUCUUGCUCAUCUUGCCAAGGUUUGAUUCCAUCCUAUAAUAUCAUGCUUUGUUAAACUCAUGCCUUUGUUUUACUCAUGUUUAAUGAUAUAAAAACCAAUUAAAUGUCGACUGUCAACCCUCUUCCUUACAAAGCAAGGUAAAGAUGAUGAGAAUUAAAAAGGUGCUACAGAAGGAAGACAUUCGUCUAAAAUAAGUUAAGAUUGUGAGGAGACAGAUGGGGUGGUCCAAAUAUAAUUUCAAUUUCAACUGGUGUUGCAUAGCAAUGAAUAAGCCAAGAGAUUAUAUACUUGUUAUUUUAAUAUAGAUUUAUGAAAUUGGCUUGACAUCUUAUGAUUUUAAUAUUAUUUCUACUAUGAACUUAACUACUCAACCUCAAGAGAAUGCUUCCUAUGAAGAUGGUCAAGCAACAAUGAAGUAUUUUGUUACAUUUAUCCUCUAUCUUCUAUAAUCUCAAUUGGGAUCUAUUUUUUACUAAUUUAACCAUUAGUUUCUAUAACUUUACCAUGUAAGCAAAUUAAUAUAUCUAUAUUUGAUUUUGAACAUUAAUAAUAGUAUAAUUUAAUAGCAUAAUGUACUUCUUGAAGAAAUAUUUUGACGAACAUAGAUCAACUUGCAUGAGCUUCUACAUUCGUAUAAAUUAAGAAUGAAGUCUUCCACUUCAAUCCUCUUUGUCAAUUAAUAGAGCAAUGAACAAUUAGAUAAUGUGAGAGUGGAGUAGGGAUAUUGCCCCCUAAUUUGUAUAGCACUAGUCUAGGUCCAUCCAUCAUGAAAGAUUAUUAGACCCUACAUCAUAAGUUAGCGGGAGUGACUAUUGAGCCAUGCAUAUCUCCGUUGCUAUUGGCUCUUACCUCUAUGUGAAAAGAUCCUUUUGCCCCCCUAAUUCAAAAUUCUUUGCCCUCCUUUUUCUUCAUUCCUUUACCGGCACCCCACCUUCCUAGCAUCCCUUUCCCUUGUGUCUCCCUCCAACGUCCUAAACACUCUCCCUUCUCCUUCCCAACUCAUUCCCUUCUCAACCUGCUCCCAAACCUUCACUUCUCCUUCCCUUCCCAAACCCUUUGUGCCCUUCUUCACAUUCGCUCCUCCCUUUGGUAUUUUUUUUUCUCUAUCUUCAUUUUCUUUUUUUUGGCUGUUGAAUGACACAAUAGAAUAUUGAUUUCAUUGUGUGUUUUUGAUAAAAUAUACAACAAAAUCGUGAUUCCAUUGUGUAUUUUUUUUACUUUUGAAUGCCACAAUGGAAACACGAUUUCCAUUGUGACUUUGUCCAGACACACAAAAGAAUCGUGAUUUCAUUGUGUGUUUGGACGUACAAAGUCCAUAGUAGAAUCGUGAUUUUGUUGUUUGUUGGAACAAAUGCACAAUGAAAACAUGAUUCUGUUAUGCAUUAUGUUCAUAUAUACAACAAAAUCGUAAUUUUGUUGUAUAUUUUGUCCAACAAGCUCACGAUUUUGUUGUGUCUAGACAAAAUACACAAUAGAAUCGUGAGCUUGCUAAACCUCAGAGUUGUGCCAAAAGGUAUGAGUCAUUAUCAACUCUUACAACAAGCUUUGCAAGUAUUGCACGAAGGGUUAGCAGUCGAGUGCAACUCAAACAUACAGAGACCUAGGAAGAGGUUGCCAACAAGAAGGGUGGCAAAGGCAGUUGAUCAUGGUAUUGAACAUUUAUUAUUGUUGUUAUCUAUUUAUAUUUGGAUGUAGUGUCUAUAGUUUUUUUUAUGUUGGUUUCAAAUAUAUAUUUUUCUCAAUUUAUGUUGUGGUUGAAUUACUUUUUUGUGUGUUCAUCAAUGAUUUAAAUAACACACGUCUCAUAAUAUAACAACAAUGGUCUCUUCAUUUGAUUCAUAAAAUAAACAUCAACCACUAAAGAGACACUUAUAUCGACUUUUAUUAAAAAAAAAUAACUAACUUACGAUUUUUAUAAAUUAAAAACAUGACUACACAAAUUUAUCACACAUCAGAGCAAUGAUUUCAUCAAUAGAUCUUGGUUUUCCUAGUUUACAUACUAGGAUAAGGAUUUCAUUUGGGGAUCGAGCAAACAUUGCAUGCAACACAAUUGGACCUUUGCUACUAACUUCCAAAGGGAUGAAAAAUAGUUUUCCCACAUCAUUGUUGCAUUUAAGCUCCAUACACUCAUAUUCUAUACAAGCAUCACCUACAUAAACAGGUUUGACGGUAAAAAAAAGGUUAAGUAAAAUUCUGCUACCUCUGAUAACGUCCAUAAUUGUUUUUCUUAUAGCAUCAAGCGACAUGCCUUUAUUUAUUCUAACGACUUUAGAACCACUAGCUAGGAUAUCAAACAAUAUCCCUUCAAAUGAUGAAAUCAUGUCACCAUUGCAAUACACAACAGCAGAUACAUUCCAUGUUUUCAACAAUAUGGUGAAUAUCAAUCAAAGGUGUUGAGUUGCAACAAACUCCUAUUGCUAUUUAUAUUAGAUGAUCUAUUGUUCUCUUAUGACUCAUAGAAACAAUUGAGAUCGAACCAACAAGAUAAAUAGUUUAGAUUGUGUCUAUAUUUAAUAUAAUUGAUAUGCGCAUAAAAAAAAUAGUGUUCGGUCAAUCAUUGCAAUGUUGUAAUGUUCAAUCAAUAAAAAAAAUACCAAAUUCAUUUUUAAUUUUUUUUUCAAUUUAAAAAGAAAAAUCUAUUACAAUCACAACACAACGAAAUCGUGAUUCUGUUGUACUAUUUAGGGUGACAAACAAAAUAGCAAUAGAAUCAUGAUUCUAUUGUGUUAAAGGGGUGCAACAAAACCAUAAAAUUGUGAUUCCAUUGCAUUGUCUCGAUAACAAAAAAAUUGUGAUUCUAUUGUGUUGUGAUUCCAUUGCACUACGACAAACAAAAUAGCAAUAGAAUUAUGAUUCCAUUGCAAGUAUUGUCAUACAACAAAAACAGGUUAUGUUGUGCAUGACCUACAACGGUACCAUGAUUUUAUGGGAAGGAUAGUUUGGGAAUAAGAAAAGGGAUCAGCCCCUUGAUAUGAACUAAUAGCAAUAGGAGUGAGGUCAAUAACAACCCCCAAAGUUAGCACAUUAAUUUACCAUUGGGCCCAAACCCAUGAUGAAUCACUACAUUAUAUGAGUAAGAAUAUUCAUGCUACCAAUUCAAACUGUUUUUCAAAAAUAAAUGAAAGAAAAUGAUUUUUUUUUUAAAAGCACCAAUCAAUAGAAGCUUAACAUUCUAACAUACCACUAAUAGCAUGAAGGAGUAUCUUAGGCACAUCUAAAAGGACUUCUUGGAUCAAUAGAUAGGGAUGUCUCUAAUGAUUUCGUUGUGAUUCAAGGUAAAUUUAUUUUGGUUUUCUUUUCAACAUUUAAAUUUCUAUCUACAUCCUGAAGUUGAAGAUGAAAAAUUCAUUCUUUUGUCUUUUACAAAGUAAUAUGUUCAGUAAAUAUAUAGGAGAGGUUUAGGUUAUAUUUAUAAAAAUUCUUUUAGUAUUCAAAAGACCUUUACAAUAAUGGAGAAAGAACUGAACUUGUAAAACUUAGGGUCAUUUACAGGUCUUUUAGUAGUCCAGAUCAUUAAAUUCAAUGCUGAAAUUUUAUAUAUGCGACUUAGAGCUUAGGGUCAGAUUGCAAAACUUGAAGCAACUUGACUAUUUUGGUUAAGAGUAAAUACUGAAAUUAGUUCUUGAAAGAUUAGUGAGAUAUCAAGUCAGUACAUUGCGGACAACACAUUAAUAUNNNNNNNNNNNNNNNNNNNNNNNNNNNNNNNNNNNNNNNNNNNNNNNNNNNNNNNNNNNNNNNNNNNNNNNNNNNNNNNNNNNNNNNNNNNNNNNNNNNNUCUCUUUAUAUAUAUAUAUAUAUAUAUAUAUAUAUAUAUAUAUAUAUAUAUAUAUAUAUAUAUAUAUAUAUAUAUAUAUAUAUAUAUAUAUAGCAUGUCUUAUUUAUUUUACUUUCUGAUUCUCAAAAAAAAAAAAAAAAAAGACUCGCACUCAAAUAACAAUAUUAGGAUGGAAAAUCAUUGAGAUAACAUAGUUUUCCCCCAGUAAAGUUGUUAAUGUUGACCCCUGAAGAGAAUAAAAAAAAUGGGGAAACAGAUGAAGAGUUGGAAAGUCAAAAUGAAAGAACUAACGCUGAUUUUGACCCACAUAAAAUACUAUGGUAAUGCUCGGAGACUAAGCAUAAUUUAAAUUUCAAAGAACAAUAAUUUAUUGAAGUUUUAUAUUCAAAGUUUUAAAUUGCCAGUCACUAUUGGUUGAGAGACUCUUGAUAUUGUGAAAAAUCAAUUAUAAGUAGUAAAUAAUUUAGUGAAGUUAUUAUAUUCAAAGUUUUAAAUUGGAACUGUAAUCACAAUUCCUUAAAACUCUUGAUAUUGCAGAGAAUUACAUAUAAAUGGUAGUUAAUUGUGGUGUUAUCCAAAAUUACACAAACCAUUUUUUAAAACCAUGAUUAUAAUUAAAAAAUAAUUUAGUGAAGUUGUUAUAUUCAAAGUUUUGAAUUGCAUUGUAAUCACGAUUCGUUGUGACUCUUGAUAUUGCCAGAAAUUAUGUAUAAAUGGUAGUUAAUGCGGCUGUAAUUGUGGUCGUAUCCAAAAUUGUGCGAACCAUUUUUUAAAACUUUGAUUAUAAUUAAAGUUUAAAAUCUUUGGUUAAAUUUUCUCACUCGAAAUAUUCAACUGUACUUAUAGGUACGUCGUUCAAGUACAUGCCUAAUUUUCCACCUUAUUAAAGUUGUGUGUAAAGAAAAUCUCCAAAAAAGUUAACCUUAAACGUAUUGUGUAUGUUUUCCAUUUAAAUAAGAUUGUCUUUUGUAAAACCAACUGUGUUUCCAGAUAAAAAAAAAUUAUUUAAAAUGUGACCAGUAACCACCAAAAGAAUAAGAUAAAGAAAGUAUAUUACACAAAAAAGGAAUGAUAUAUGAAUUAAAAUAAGACAAAUAUAAUAGAAAAGUAAAAUAAGAUGGAGGUAUAUGUUUCGAGGAUUGAUUCUCCCUUGAAAAAUUCUGUAUGGUUUUGGUCCAAGACUCCUAGUUGUCCUUUAAAAUUUGUAAAAGGACAAACAAGUCAAUAGGAAAUUAUAAUUCUUGCUAGUAUUUCUAGUAAAUGGGGUUAAGUGCAAAGCACUAAGCAGGUCAUGCACAUGCAUGAAUGGUAUAUAUAAAGAUUUUUUUCUGUCUCUAAACAAUGCCCUUUAGGUCUCAUGAAAAGGCAAAUGGAAUGAAAAUAGAAGUAUUAUCAAUAUUAUAGUAAACCAACUCACCCCAACAGUUGCUUAUCAUUGGCAAAAGGGUCAAACAAAAUAAUAAUGAACAAGUCCAAUUUUUUAAAUUUGGUAAAAUUCCACCACCUCCUUUGCUUGUUGUUCAAUUCAAAAAUCAACCUAGAAGAUCCUUGAGAUUCUGGAUGAAAUCUGUGGGAUAUCGCUUUCCAAACUGUCAGAUUUCCUAUGAGGAUUAUGUAUCUUCUUGAUCAUGAUAGGUUCCCAUUUAAAAUGUCACACUCUCAUUCAACUCAUUACAUUAUUCUUCAUCUCUAUCCCUCUUCCUUGUUCUCUUCUUUCAUCCAUUUUUCUUCUUCUGUUGUGGCUAGCUAGCACAUAAUAUCUUCCAAGUUAUUAUGGCUAUGACUGUAGAGGCUCAGUUCCAUGUUUUGGCUGUUGAUGACAGUAUUAUUGACCGAAUGCUGAUUGAGAGGCUCCUAAAAACCUCUUCCUUUCAUGGUACUUUUUUUUUGUCCACUAUUUACUUUAUUUCUUUUAAUAUGCAUUUUUAUUGUUAUACCGCCAAAGGUUUUGAAGAAUGAUCUGUCACCGUCACAUUUAUCUAUAAUUUCCCACAAUAACAAAAAACGCAGCCAAAAUGUGGCUGUGACCAUGUUAUAAAACCUUGAUAUUGCCAUAUUAUCGAAGAAACAUAUGAUAUGAGCAUGUUGUUUGUUUGUGUAAUCAUUUAUGAUAUUUUUCCUUUUUCCUGAAGGUGGGAUUUGGGGUAAUGAAUUUGAUAACUGAUAUUUGAUUCUUGUGAAUAUUUGUUGAAAUCACAGUUACUACAGUGGACUCUGCCACUAAGGCCUUAAAAUUUCUUGGUUUGGUUGAAGAUGAGUUGAGGACUUUUGACACCACUGUUGCAUCAGAAAUUCAUCAGGUUCAAUUCUCUAACUAAAUAAUUACUCACACAUAUGCCCUAAAACAUUUUUGUGGACAACUUUGUAUUAACCGUUGGUUAAAUUGUUCAUGCAGGAUGUAGAUAUAAACCUGAUUAUAACAGAUUACUGCAUGCCAGGAAUGACUGGCUAUGAUCUGCUGAGAAAAAUCAAGGUAGGCUUUCGUGCAUUUACCAAGACUUUUUUAAGAAGCUUGUGUCACUUUUUUAUUUGAUUAAUCUAGCUUCAAUUUCGUUGAAUCCUACCAUACCAUAUGAAUACAUCACAGAACUUGGUCAAAUUAUGCACGAUGGAUUUGAUUUUGCCUUUCCAUCUUUUAGGAAACAAUUUGAAAGGAUAUGAUCUUAUUUCUGAAAUAAAAAUUAUGUGAAUUUUUAGACAAUUUUUUUUAAAAAAAAUUCCUUCUGACAUCUUAGUUGUCAUAUUUUCCAAAUUUCCAAUAUAGCAAAUCAAAUUUGAUCAUGGCCAUCAUGGUAUAUCUUUGACAGCCUGUAUAUUCUUCUGCUUGAUGAUGUUAAAAAAUAAUAUUAAGUUCCUUGAUUUGCAGGAAUCUAAAUCUCUUAAAAACAUACCAGUUGUGAUUAUGUCCUCAGAGAAUGUACCAUCAAGGAUCAACAGGUGAGGAAUCCUAAACUCCCAAUCCAAUACCAACUUAAUUAUUUUGAAAUUUUCAAAUUCACAUAUUAUGGGGGCAUCACAUGGCUAAAUUUGACUAACAUGCCCUUUUUAAAAUAAAUAAAAAAUCACAUAUUAGGGGUCAUCACAUGGCUUACAUGACUUUUUUUUUUCUUUUCAAAAUUUCAAAUAAAUUUUAGGGGGCAUUACAUGCCUAAAUUUCAUAUUUGACUUACAUGACAUUUUUUUUUUUUUUGUAUCAGAUGCUUGGAAGAGGGAGCAGAAGAGUUCUUUCUGAAACCAGUUCAACAGGCAGAUGUGAACAAGCUGAAGCCACAUUUGAUGAAAUCAAGAGCAAAGGAAGAGCAAGACCAACCCUUCAAUAACAAAAGGAAGGACAUGGAAGAAAUCCAUUCCCCAAAUAAAACCAGAAUAAAAUGUAGCAGUUAAAAUUGGUUUCAAAUUAAAAAUAAAAAAAUUGAUGAAACAUAGGUAGUGCCUAUAACAUUUUCCUCUUCUCUCGCUUGCUUGGUAGUGAAAAGUUAGGCAGUCAAUAAUCAUGCAAAAGGGAUAAAGAGUACAAGUCAUUUAUGUAAAUAGCCUGAGAAAGAAUUCCAUUCAAUUUUGGUCAUCAAAUAUCAUUUCAUUUUGACAAGUCUUUUUAAUUUCCAUUGUGUCCUUCAUCAGUUUAACCUAAAACAGGCGCCUCAAUUUUCUUCCUAGCUUCACUUUUAUGUUUUUAUUUUAAUUAGAGUUUCUCCAGCAUGUUCAAAAUUAAAAUUAAAGUCUAUUUUGGAUUGGAUAAUAUUUACAAUUAAUUAUAGAUAUAAUCGACUAUUGUUAAUAAGUUUUAUUUUUGGAUAUGUUACAUACAAAUAAUUUUAAGAUAAUUUAUUUGAUUUUUUUUGGUAGAGAGAUAAUUUAUUUAUUGAUUACUUUUUUAUUAUAAAAUAUAAAAAAGGAAUUAAAUUAUUUAUAAUAGUUGUUUUAUAUUUAAGUUAAUCAAUAGAGAUAAAAUAAGAAAACAAAAAUCUUGUAAAAAAUAAUCUAGCUAUUACCUUUUGAUCAGAAUUCUAAAAUUUUGUUUUACUUAAAAAAAAAACUAUUUCCUUUUUUUGUUAUAAUCCAAAAUACUAAACACAUUGUAAACUGUAACAAAAAAAUAAAAAACGCGUUGUAAUGGUAAAAAACCUUUAAAUGCAAAUCUUUUAGCAGUUCUUUAUUUUCUUUGGUUGGCGGUAAGAGAAACAACUCAAACAAAGAACGAUAUCACCACUAAAAAUGCUUUAAUAAUUUGAGCAGUAUUUUUAUUUUUACUGUAUUUACAUAAUAAAAUAAGAAAAAAAUACAUAUUCCGCUAUAUGUAUUUGCAUAAUAAAAUAAGAGAUUUGUUGGUUACCACAAACGCCAUAAAAAAUAUCGAGCAUUAGUGCAAAAUAAUAAAUUCAUAGAAGAAAAGAAGCAUCAAUUUUUUUAAAAAAAAAAACUUUCUAAGUAAGUUAUCUUUUCAAAGAGUACAAUAAAACAAUGCUAAUUUGAGAUUAUAGAGUAAAUCCAAGUUUUCAAAGUAUAGAAUGAAAAAUAUAUCCUUAAAAAUGCUAAUCGGGAGUAGAUCGAUGUAUGAGAAGCCAAGUGCAAAUUAAAUGCAUAUAAUAGAUAGGGAAGACUUCAAUGAGAUAGGCAUUGACGUAAAUCACUAAGCUCUGGGAUAACAAAGCAAAGAGGCAUUAUUUGAUGGAGGUGAAAUGAGAUUUUGAACAUAAUGCGAAAAAAAAGACAGGUAAAAGUGAAAUUGCAUUAUAAUGCUAAGGAUAUAAUAUAUGGUAAGAAAAUAUUAAUUAAUGAUCUUUUAUAAAAGUUAUUAAUUAUGCUUGACAUAAGUAAUUAAAGAUCUAAAAUGAACUUUCACUUUUCUGAUGUGGGUUUUAAUCUCCUUAACAUUACUUUUUCCAUUUGCUGGACAUCCCACCUUAGGAAGAUCCUCUUACGCCUAGGGACUAAUUGAGUGAAAUUAGUUGCAGUUUGAACUUGUGCUCUAAUCCUUUAAGGGGUCUCUGACUGAUAAGUAAAAAAACAAAACCUAAGAAGCUUAUAGUUUAAAUACUUACAAGUAAUAAGCUGGAAAAAUAAACUAGUCUAUGAAACACUUAUAAACUAAUCAAAUAAGUUAUAAAUUAAUUUGAAUGUCAUGUCAAGUACACUCGUAAUUACAACUACAAGAAUUAAAUCCCACAUAGUAAAUUGCAAUUAAUAAAGAAAAGAAAUUAGCAGAAAAGAAGGUUAAGGGUAAACCAAAUAGUUAAAAAAAUUUUGAGAGUGUAAAGUCAAAGUUAGACUCAAAGUGAAGUAAAAAAAAUAAUGAAUGAAUGAAUGCUUUAUAGUGCGGUGAUAUAUAACCACGAUCAAAGGAGUUACAAAAGAAGUGAAGAAAAUUUAGAUUUUACAAACGUAACUUAAAAAUAAGAGAUGAGGAAAUUUAACUUGGUAAUUUCAUGUUUUUGCUUCUACAUAUGAUAGAUAAUAGAUAUAGUGAGAAAUUGGGAGACUGAUAUUUUGUUUUGGAGGAAUUUUAUAGUACUUAAUUUUUAUUGAAACAUGAUAAUAAAAAGAAAGUGACGUGCUUGACUUUAUUUUAAAUGCAAGUAAUGAGUACUAGAAGGAAAUGGUUCGAUCGAAGCAUGAGAGUCACAGCUAAAUAAAAACGUUAAAACAUACAAACUACAUUAGUAUGAGAAAAUAAAUUAUGCAUGCACAUUGUAAAACAACCAUACAAUUAUAAAUUAUUAAAUAUGAUAAAUUUAUUAAUUUUUAUAAUAAUUAUCUUAAAGAUCAUAUUAUUGAUGAUUUGUGAUUAAUUGAUAAUGUGAAAUUACUUUAUACAUAAUUACUAAACUUAAUUACUAAUAUGUUUACAAAAUAAUUUACCUUUAGAAAUUAUAUAAACUAUAUAUUAUAAAUAAAUUACGUGGCCUAAAAUAUGAUUGAGUAAAAAAAUCUUAACUGUGUUGAAGUUUUGAAUUUUAACUAUAAAAUAAUCUAAAUUGAAAUAAAUCAAAAGGUAAAAGGAUUUGAGUGCUAUUACCAAACCAAAUCAAACAACUUCAACUCACGAAUUUGAAUUGAAAAGUCAUUUUUUUAGUUUAUGACUUAUUUAACUAGUUUGUAAAGAAACUUAUCUAACUAGCCCAUAGCAUUUUUCUACAUACUAUUUGAACUUAAAUCUUAUUAUAAUUUUUUCAUUUUUAUUUUCAAUAUCUUAAUAAAAUUCUUCAAUUACUGUUUCCUUUAAUAAACUAUAAUUAUCCAAAAAUAUAUUUUUAUCUACAAAAUAAAAAAUAGAAACAAAUCAUAUUAUUAUCUAAAAUUGAUAUUUUUUUUAUAUAAUUUCAUGUUUAUUAACUAAUUAAAUGUUUCUAAUUCAAUAACCUGGUUUAACUUUUAGUGAAAAACUAGUUUUCUAUCUUUCAAUAACCUAAAUUAGUUUUAUCAAUUAUUUUUAAUAAUAAAAAAAUCAUUCAAAAUUUUUAAAGAACUAAAAAAUGAUGGUCAAAUACAAUGAAAGUAGAAUCUAAUUGGAGUUUAACCUUAAGUCAAACAUGUUAUUUGCUUUGAGAAAAGAGCUGUAGGCUCUCUUAACAUGUUUUUUCUUUUUCGGGAUAAACACAGUACUUCUUAGUUAUGAGUCAAAGACUGAUAUUUUGAAGUAAAAAAUUCAUUUAUGAAAUUGAUAUCUCUCAACAAAUGUUUCUUUAUAUGAUGAGACCUGAAAAUCAAAUCCUUAACCUAGUACUUAAAGAACAAAAUUAUUUCUCAUUCAUGUCAUGUUAGUCUCUAACAUCUUCCUCUAUUGAUAGUUUUUCGUUUAUUCAAAUUAUGCUAAUUUUGCUUAAGCUGCCGUUAUGUAACCCCCAAGGCGUCCUUCUAAUCUGUGGUGGCCUUAACUUGAGGGGAUUUCCAACAUAAAACAUAAAACAUAAAACAAAAUUAGGAAUCAUUUUUGCUUUUAUGAACGAUAUUUCAUAAUAAGCAUAUUAAGACCAAAAAAAACUCGCACAGUUGUAAUCAUUGAAUCUAAUAAGCAACAAUAUUCAAAAGAAACUUUUCAAAAUAGUGUUUACUAUUGACAAUUAUAUCACGCUUUGUUACAUCACAAUCAAAUAGAUGAUGCAACACCCUGAGAUACAUUGAACGAAGGCACAAGUGGCAUACUGUUGAUGCAAACUCUUUCAAGUGGAAAUUCCGAAAAGCACAAUAUCUUGAUUCUGAACGUGCGUUUGUCUCACCUCUGAAGUCCAUAUCAUACUGGAUGCUGCUUGAUUUUGAGCGAUCAACCACGUUCCACAGCAUUUUAGGAUGCAAAAAUUGUAUGAUACUCAAGCCGAUGUAACCUUCACAACUCGUUAAAAUUCCUGCUGGUAAACCUGACAAAAAUGUCUAAUCUAUAAAUAUUGUCCACAUAUUAAAACAAUGUCUAUGUGCAUUGAAACCAACGUGCUUGAUGUUUGUCACAAUCACAUUCAAACAAACAUCUCUUUAACUUCAUUUGUCGUUGUCAAUACAGCAUGUAAUGCUGCAAGAUCACAGACAUAGUGGGAGUGUGCUCUUCUGUUGUUAUCUUGCAUUGCCUUCAUUAACUCUUCCCUCUUUGCACUUAAUUUUCAAUUGUUUUUCCCCAACAGUAACAAAUAGAGAAGCCAACCUAUAAUAAAUGAACUAAACCAACAACAACAACAACAAAUUUUUUUAUCUCACUAGAUAAGGUCGGCUACAUGGAUCACACAAUGCCAUUCGGCAUGGUUAAAAGUCAAAGUUUUAGAAAAUUUAAGUCUGAGAUCUCCAUGAUUUCUUCCAAUGUCCUUUUUGGUCUCCCUCUUCUCCUAGUCCCUUUACAAUCCAACAUUCACUACCAUAUACUAUAGCUGAAUAAAUGGACUAAACCAAAGCAACAAUAUGAAUUGAAAACACGGAGAAAGCUUCCUAGUAAACUAUUCUUCCAUUUCUUAUUCAUUCCCUAGUGUUAUGCUAUCAGCUUUAGUCCAAACACUUAAGGAGAUUUGUUUUAAUGUACUUAUCGAGAAAUUACAUAAGUGGGCCCAACACCACGUCUUAACCCACACCCUUUGUAUAAACCUUUUCUGAAUAUUUAACAGCAAGGACUUUUCCCCAGUACACCAAUCUCUCUUUGUAAAUUGUAGCAUAUCUACCAAUGUGUUAACACUCUUCACUAGACUCAGCCACAUCUUGACCACUAUGUUAGUGUUUUACUAGUUGUCACUUGGAUCAGGCCAUGUACCAAGCUUACUUUUUCCAAGAACCAAUUCAUGUGUUACUCACUGCUCCCCAGUCAUCACUGGGCUGCGUGAUCUGCUUGUACUAUAAUUGUCCAAUCAAUUCAAAUCAUCAACUCCGAUACCAUUUCUUGAAUAAUUGUCCAAUCAAUUCAAAUCAUCAACUCCGAUACCACUUGUUCUACCAUUAGGAGUCCAAAAGACGAUCAUCAGUCCUUCCACUUUAUAUGGUCCUAACUAACGAUGUCCUCACAUUCUCCCCUUGCCUGAAUUCCCAACACCCAAAGGGAAAGUGAUUCCUUCUUGAAAAGACUCUAAUAUAAAUCCAAAGUCUGUGCUAAAGUUUUCUUGUAUGAUAGAGACUUAAUACAAAUGAACUAUUGCAGAUUUAGUGUCAUAAAAAAUUCUGUUGAUAUGUGUGCCAAGUGGCUGUCCGACUAAGAAAUAACUGCACAUUUAUUUUUAUGACACCAUUAAUCCACUUACAAAUGAAGUAGGAUUUCAAACAUGUUGGGCGAAUCUUGGGAGUGCCCUUAAAACGUGGACCAAUUUCUUUCAUAAAUUUAUUUAGGCGUGAUCUAGGAUGGCAAAUUUUGAUGGCAGCAUCAUAUCUAUGAAGAUUUUGGUUUGUUUGUUGGAGUGGAACACUCAGACUUUAAAGAGAAUAUCUAAACUUAU